CCGCCCAGCUCAGGGGAGGAGGGGACAGGGGAUCGCGGAUGGAAGGGCCGCGGGCGGCCAGGGAGGGCGGAGGGAAGCCGAGGAGGAGGGCGGCGGGCGGUUUUAUUGUUUCCUUUCGCCCUCCUCCUCCCGCGCUUGGCCCCGGCGUCACUGGAAAGCCGCCAGAGCAGCCCGGCGGCGGGUUAUUUAUAGCGCGGGCUGCGCGCGCGUCACGGAGCCCGGCCCGGCUGACGGGGCCGCUGACGCGCUUGGCCGCGGGGCCGAGUCCGCGGGGUUGCGCGCCGGGCGCCGGCGACAAUGGGCUUCUGUGUGUGCAGCUGCCGCCGCCGCUGGGGGCCGGGGGAGGGGGGCGGGCUGCCGCUCUCUGACCACCCUCCCUCUCGCCUGCGACCCCCAGAAAGGUAACCGGCCUCCUCUGACCCUGGCCGGGGCCCGCCAGCUGCAGGUUUUUUUUCUUUUAAGAUUUUAUCAGUAACUUCCCCCUGCCCCCACCUCCGCUCCCUCCUCCCCUGUACCCCCUUCUUGCCACCCAACAUGAGGAGAGAGGGGGAUUUAGCCGGCCGGGGGCGACUACUUUCUGCGUCCCGGGGAGCGGGACCCGCUCACGGCGCGCCCAGCGGGGAAUGCGGUGACCGAGGGGCCGGGAGCGCCGGGCAGGAAGCCAACCUGGGUGUGUAAGCGCGAAGAGCGAAAGAGAAACUUCUGCGUGACUAGCUGAGGCGCCACCGGAGAGGCCGAGAUAUUACAGGACCCCCGCCCCGCUCCCGCGCGCCCUCCCCCCUCCCGUCGCCCCUCCCUCGUCUGCUCCCACCCCUUGCCUCUCUCCCGAAGCUUGGGACUUUGGAGUCCUCCCCUCUACCCCCUCCCCGCGGGUUCGGUCCUCGCACGCCCCCGCCCCACGGAAGGAGGGGCUGGCGAGAAUUUUAGGGACUUCCUGGGAUGCGGAGACCUGCUUGAACCGUCCCCCUUCAGCGGCCGGGAGCUGGGAGAGCUUGCUUGGGAGCCUCUCGCACGUGGCAGGCAGGCAGAGAACUUGCUGUGCCUUCUAGGAAAUUGCAAUCGAUUUGUAAUGCAGUUUCGCUAAUUGGGAGUUCAAAAUUAAACUUUAAUAAAGCA